GCAUAUCAAUAAGCGGAGGAAAAGAAACCAACAGGGAUUGCCCUAGUAACGGCCGAGUUAAAGCGGCAACAGCUCAAAUUUGAAAGCUGGCCUUCGGGUCCGCAUUGUAAUUUGUAGAGGAUGCUUUGGGUGAAACGCCAGUCUAAGUUCCUUGGAACAGGACGUCAUAGAGGGUGAGAAUCCCGUAUGUGACUGGAAAUGUUAACCUAUGUAAAGCUCCUUCGACGAGUCGAGUUGUUUGGGAAUGCAGCUCUAAAUGGGAGGUAAAUUUCUUCUAAAGCUAAAUAUUGGCGAGAGACCGAUAGCGCACAAGUAGAGUGAUCGAAAGAUGAAAAGCACUUUGGAAAGAGAGUUAAAAAGCACGUGAAAUUGUUGAAAGGGAAGCGCUUGCAAUCAGACUUGUUUAAACUGUUCGGCCGGUCUUCUGACCGGUUUACUCAGUUUGGACAGGCCAGCAUCAGUUUCGGCGGCCGGAUAAAGGCUCUGGGAAUGUGGCCUUCACUUCGGUGAAGGUGUUAUAGCCCAGGGUGUAAUACGGCCAGCCGGGACUGAGGUCCG
rnacentral:rRNA from 1 species